GUGAUAGAUGAGCUACUGGAUGAACUGCAUGGGGCACAAUGGUUUACAAAGCUGGAUCUCCGGGCAGGAUACCAUCAAAUAAGGCUAGCCCCUGGAGAAGAAUAUAAGACAGCUUUUCAAACUCAUCAUGGGCAUUUUGAGUUUCUAGUUGUGGGAUUUGGUCUGACAGGAGCUCCAAACACUUUCCAAAGGGGCAUUAAUGUGUCCUUGUCUGAAGAACCUGACAUGCUUAGGAAUUUUGUCAUUGCAUUCUUUGAUGACAUCCUGGUUUUCAGUAAAACAUUGAAACAACAUUUAGAGCAUUUCAGAAGGGUUUUGCAAGUUUUGAGAAGAGACAAAUGGUAUGUGAAACUCUCCAAAUGUGAGUUUGCUUCU
rnacentral:rRNA from 1 species